CAAUUUAAUGUAAAUAAUAAUAUUCGAUGAUGGGAUUGCAUCUAAUUAGCUAGUUAGUGAGGCAAUAGCUUACCAAGACAAUGAUCAAUAGCUAUUUCAAGUCUUCAAAAGGAUAAUCAUUUUGAUUGGAAUUGAGACACGGUCCACACUCCUAUAGAAG
rnacentral:rRNA from 1 species